rnacentral:rRNA from 1 species
ACUUCGGGAAACCGGAGCUAAUACCGGAUAAUCCUUUUUCUCUCAUGAGGAAAAGCUGAAAGACGGUUUACGCUGUCACUUACAGAUGGGCCCGCGGCGCAUUAGCUAGUUGGUGAGGUAACGGCUCACCAAGGCGACGAUGCGUAGCCGACCUGAGAGGGUGAUCGGCCACACUGGGACUGAGACACGGCCCAGACUCCUACGGGAGGCAGCAGUAGGGAAUCUUCCGCAAUGGACGAAAGUCUGACGGAGCAACGCCGCGUGAGUGAUGAAGGUUUUCGGAUCGUAAAACUCUGUUGUUAGGGAAGAACAAGUACAAGAGUAACUGCUUGUACCUUGACGGUACCUAACCAGAAAGCCACGGCUAACUACGUGCCAGCAGCCGCGGUAAUACGUAGGUGGCAAGCGUUGUCCGGAAUUAUUGGGCGUAAAGCGCGCGCAGGCGGUCCUUUAAGUCUGAUGUGAAAGCCCACGGCUCAACCGUGGAGGGUCAUUGGAAACUGGGGGACUUGAGUGCAGAAGAGAAGAGUGGAAUUCCACGUGUAGCGGUGAAA